rnacentral:lncRNA from 10 species
GGAAUACGAAGGGAGAAUGAAACAAAACUGCUCCGCUUAGGGAACUUGGAAAGGAAAUUGAAAAGGCAAGGCACAGGCUGGAAGAAAAUAUUUGAAAAAGAUUUAUGUGAACUUCUUUCUGGAUUAUACAAAAUAUUUUUAGAUAUUCUUACAACUCUAAAAUAAGAUAACUCCUUAAAAAUCUAAAUUCUACCAAAGGAGAGAUAAAGAUGACGAAUACAUUCAAAGAUGCUGAAAAUCACUUAUUUAUUAUUAGGAAGUUACAAGCUAAAGCAUAAUGAGAUACCACUACAACCUACUAAACUGACUAAAAUUAAUCAGACUAACCAGGUGUUGGCAAGAAACAGGGACACUGAGACUCUCACACUGCUGGAAGGAAUGUAAAAUGCUAAAACUUCUUUGGAAAUGAGUUCAGUAACUUUUUAAACAGUUGAAAAUAGACCUAUCAUGCAAACCAGCAAUCCCACUUCCAGGUAUUUAUACAAGGAAAAUGACAACAUAUGCCCACAUAAAGACUUGUGCACAAAUGACCGUAGCAGCUUUGUGAUAAUUGCUAAAAACUAGAAACUUGUCAAGUGUCCAACAGACACAGGGUCUCCCUAUGUUGCCCAGGCUGGUAUCGAACUCUGUUGCCCAGGCUGGUAUUGAACUCCUGCGCUCAAGUGAUCCUCCUGCCUCAGCCUCCCAAAAUGCUGGGAUUACAGGUGUGAACCACUCUACCCAGCCCCUCCUUGCUCAUUCGUAAUGAAACAACGCUUUGUAAACCGUGAAAGUGCUAUAUAAAGAUAUCUUUAAAAUACCAAAGAAGUCCC